CUCCAACAUAGGCUAUUUUAGAACAAUACGUAUGACUAUGGGUAAUUUAGGCAAGGCUGUAGUUAAAGCGAGGUAUACUCAUUUUUCAAAAUUUUAUAUGUAGUUGCCUUCUCAAGACAAUAUGGGCAAAGUGAGUACAUUUAGUGGGAUCCUUGCAGGGAGCCGAAGACCCCAUGGGAUAUGACCAACUCAGCAUUCCACUGGAGGCUAUAUGAUCAAACAGCAAACUGUUUAUCAUGAAUGCAGGAUGUGGGCAAACUCACGACUACUCCCACUGCCAGAAGGUUUGCUGAGGGCCAUCGCUUCCUGGUGCCGAGCUCCUUGUCCACUAGAGGCAAGGUGCCCCCUAACUCCUUCUUCCAGAUAUACUCUUUUGUCUCUUGUCUUUUAUUCCCGUGUUCAUCCCCCUUUGUUCAGUCCACCAGGGAUCGUGGCACGUUACAUAGUGGUGCCCCGAACAGCGACAGAAUCAGGUGCUCUACAAGUGGCACUCAAACAGGCGACAGUCUGAACACGGGACUAUGAGGAUGUGAAUGAAGAAGAUUUCCUGGAACAGAGGAACUGAAAUUGACAACGCAAAUGGGGACCCUGGGAUGAGUCAGCUGGCAGCGCACGUGAGUCUGUAAAAUCGGAUGGACCGCCAAUCGGAGAAUGAGAGCUGCCCAGCCUGGUCUUACAUUCUUUCAAUUAAUUCAUAAACAGGGGGAUAUGCAGGGAGCCGAAGGCCCAUGGGACGUGACCAACUCAGCAUUCCACUGGAGGCUAUAUGAUCAAACAGCAAACUGUUUAUCAUGAAUACAGGAUGUGAGCAAACUCACGACUGUGCCUGCCGCCAGAAGGUUUGCUGAGGGCAAUCGCUUCCUGACGCCGAGCUCUUUGAAGUUAUCUACUGGAACAUCUAGAGAAUGCAGUCUUGCAAGCCUACUCUGGACCAACCAACUGACCUCUUCUUCCACCCCUCUUCUCACUAUCGCUUUUGUCUAAUAAAUACAGAGGGCCGUGUAAAGCUCAGGGCCUUGUCCACUAGAGGCAAGGUGCCCCCGGACCCCUUCUUCCAAAUAUACUCUUUUGUCUCUUGUCUUUUAUUCCCGCGUUCACCCCCCUUUGUUCAGUCCACCAGGGAUCAUGGCAGGUUACAUAGUGGCGCCCCGAACAGCGACAGAAUCGGGUGCUCAAUAGAUCCUCAUAUAUAACUAUAAUUGGAGCCCCAAUGUAAA
rnacentral:lncRNA from 1 species